AGCGAACGCUGGCGGCGUGCUUAACACAUGCAAGUCGAACGAGGACUGUAGCAAUACAGUUACUCGUGGCGAACGGGUGCGUAACACGUGGAUAACCUUCCUUCAGGUGGGGAAUAACCCAGUGAAAAUUGGGCUAAUACCGCAUAACAAAACGAGGGCACAUGCUCUUGUUUUCAAAGCCGCAAGGCGCCAGAAGAGGGAUCCGCGGCCGAUUAGCUUGUUGGCGGGGUAACGGCCCACCAAGGCAUUGAUCGGUAGCCGGACUGAGAGGUUGGCCGGCCACACUGGAACUGAGACACGGUCCAGACUCCUACGGGAGGCAGCAGUGGGGAAUCUUGCACAAUGGACGAAAGUCUGAUGCAGCAACGCCGCGUGGGGGAUGAAGCUUCUCGGAGUGUAAACCCCUUUCGACCCGGAAGAAUGCCCGCAAGGGCUUGACGGUACGGGUAUAAGAAGCCCCGGCUAACUACGUGCCAGCAGCCGCGGUAAUACGUAGGGGGCCAGCGUUGCUCGGAAUUACUGGGCGUAAAGGGUCCGUAGGCGGUGUGGCAAGUCGGGAGUGAAAUCUCUGGGCUUAACCCAGAGGCUGCUUCCGAAACUGCCA
rnacentral:rRNA from 1 species